UACGUAGGCAGCGAGCGUUGUUCGGAGUUACUGGGCGUAAAGCGUGCGUAGGCGGUAGUCCAAGUCUGGUGUGAAAUCUCCCGGCUUAACUGGGAGGGUGCGCCGGAAACUGGGCUGCUGGAGUGCGGGAGAGGUAAGCGGCAUUCCCGGUGUAGCGGUGAAAUGCGUAGAUAUCGGGAGGAACACCUGGGGUGUAGAGGGCUUACGGGACCGCCACUGACGCUGAGGCACGAAAGCGUGGGUAGCAAACAGG
rnacentral:rRNA from 1 species